UUAAUAGAAGCCAAAAAGAGGCUAUUCAUUGUUAAUGAAUUAACUGACUACUCCUAUUAAG
rnacentral:tRNA from 1 species